UACAGAGGUCUCAAGCGUUGUUCGGAUUCAUUGGGCGUAAAGGGUGCGUAGGUGGCGCCGUAAGUCGGGUGUGAAAUUUCGGAGCUUAACUCCGAAACUGCAUUCGAUACUGCGGUGCUUGAGGACUGGAGAGGAGACUGGAAUUCACGGUGUAGCAGUGAAAUGCGUAGAGAUCAUGAGGAAGACCAGUGGCGAAGGCGGGUCUCUGGACAGUUCCUGACACUGAGACACGAAGGCCAGGGGAGCAAACGGG
rnacentral:rRNA from 1 species